UUGUAUCUCAAUGUCACAUCUUAUCAGAGCAUUGUGUUACAUCGUUCUCUAGCAUGAGGUUCUCCAUAGUCAUCCACCUAAUCAUCUGCUUCCACGAACACAAAGUUCGAGAUCAUCACAAGAUCCAAACACAAAUAGCACACAGGGAGUGAGUUAUCACAUUUCUCACUAAUAGAGAGAAAUGGGACAACAUAGAUAUACACAUCAUAUAAAUGAAAUACAACUUACUUUAACACAGCUCAU
rnacentral:lncRNA from 1 species